rnacentral:tRNA from 1 species
GGCGGCAUAGCCAAGCGGCAAGGCAGAGGACUGCAAAUCCUUUAUCCCCGGUUCGAAUCCGGGUGCCGCCUCCA